UACGAAGGGGGCUAGCGUUGUUCGGAGUUACUGGGCGUAAAGGGCGCGUAGGCGGCGCACCAAGUCAGGCGUGAAAGCCCUGGGCUCAACCCGGGAAUUGCGCCCGAAACUGCUUAGCUUGAGUGCCGGAGAGGGUGGCGGAAUUCCCCAAGUAGAGGUGAAAAUUCGUAGAUAUGGGGAGGAACACCGGUGGGCGAAGGCGGCCAUCUGGGACGGUAACUGACGCUGAGACGCGAAAGCGUGGGGUAGCAAACAGG
rnacentral:rRNA from 1 species